GAUGAAUUCCGCAAUCGAUUCAUAUCAUGGCUUCUACUUGUCUUCCUGAUAUCUGGAGAUGGAUAAGAAACCUUCCCUCCACCAAUCAAUGGAAUACAAACACCAUUUCUCUUUGCAUCUGUUCCUCAGAGUCAACAAGCCGAUCCCUUAAUCUGUCAGUCAUCAAAAGCCUCCACAGACAAACACCACAAGUCACCUUCUCCAUCUUUGCAGGCUUCCACAUGCCUAUUUACCUUUGGACAUCCAAUUCCUUCCGCCUGAACACCAAGGUCCAAGAGUACUUUGAUGAAGACUUCAUAACUCGUCUGUUCUGCAGCAUCAUCAAUUCAGUCCUUAGGUAUGGCUCCAAUAAGAAAAGCCCCAUCAGACAACCAGCAAUGCAAAUCAGUGUUGAUUCCUCAGACAUCUUCAAUCUGGCAUUCCUCAAUCUUACUUUCCUAGUUUGCCUCUACGAACUUCGUCGGGACCUUCGCGCAGAAUUCACAGACUCUCUGAGGCUUCAACUGGCUAGCUCGAGGUCCCAAGAAGCAUCAAAGCUGUUGAUGCGGGCCCUUGGAUCCAACCUCGAAGAAAAAUGGAUGAGAUCUAUCAGCCUUGGCAUCACUAAUUGGAUGAUGGAGCUCCAAGCUUCAAAUAGUCCUUUCACAUCGCCCUCCGCAUUGUUCUCAUACGCCUCGUCAGAGAGCAGGCUAUGGAAAGUGCAGCUGUACUGCCCAAUGGCAGCCAUGAGCAUCGAAGAUUCGAGCACAACGACUCCAGACGAUCGCUUGGAUUUCUCGCUGAAGUACCAGCAGUUCGAAGGUGUGAUUCAGCUUGCGUACAAAAUCAUCUUUCGUCCGAGCUGGAUCGAAGUGUCGGUCAGCGUGGAUAACAUAAGGUGUGAUGUGUGCCCACUAGUAUCUGAUAGUCUGAUGACUAGAAGAGGUUAUGGACCUGAGGAGAAGCAUUUCCCUUCUCGAAUAACCUUGCAACUCACUCCAACCCUUCAGUCCGAUGUGCUAUCGGUAUCGGUAAGCAAAUCCACCGACAAUCCUAUCCAGGAAAUUUCCACGGGGACGAGCCUCCAGGGCUCAUUCGAACCCCCAAAGGCUUUGGGACUCUCAGUUACAGCUGCAGAAACUUUCACGAUGAGCAUGAAGCCUUGGAGAUUUGAGCAAUCAGUCCAUGGAAACAGCGCGAUCCUGAAUUGGUUUCUUCAUGGUGGCAUCAAUGGCAGAGAGAUCUUCUCUUCCAAGCCUUCGAAGCUGAUGUUAUUUCGACCUAAAGCAUGGUUCAGAAACAGGUACUCGAAGGCUUCCAGACCUUUCACAAGACAAGGAGGGGUGAUCUUUGCUGGAGACGAGUAUGGGGAGAGUGUGCGGUGGAAGGUGAGUGAAGAAGCCUUAGGGAAGACCAUGGAGUGGGAACUCAGAGGGAGGAUUUGGUUGAGCUACUGGCCUAACAAGCAAAGAACCUUUCACAGUGAAAUUAGGGGGUUAGAGUUCAGGGAAUUACUUUAUCUUUCACUAGACAAAUAGCUCAGGAUCAAGAUCCUUGUCUUUUAGAUCUCGGUCCCUAAAAAUAAAAACUGUGUCAUUUAUUUAGUCAUUCUGUAUAAUGCAGGUCUAAUUGGAGAGUAUUAUUGGAUCCUGACUUUAUUGUUUAUGUAGCAACUCAAAACUUCACCCAAAAUAGCUAGCCGAAAAGUAUUAUUUGGAUU